CCUACGGGCGGCUGCAGUGAGGAAUAUUGGGCAAUGCCCGCAAGGGUGACCCAGCAACGCCGCGUGGAGGAUGAAGGCCGUACGGUUGUAAACUCCUGUUAGAGGAGAAGAAUAGUACCGAUUGGAUCGGUAUUUGACUGUACCCUCAGAGAAAGCCCCGGCUAACUACGUGCCAGCAGCCGCGGUAAUACGUAGGGGGCAAGAGUUGUCCGGAUUUACUGGGUGGAAGGGGGGCGCACGAGGCAGAGGUGAAAUCCUACAGCUUAACUGUAGAACUGCCUUUGAUACUGUUAUUCUUGAGUUCGGGAGAGAGAGACGGAAUUCCAGAUGUAGUGGUGAAAUACGUAGAUAUCUGGAAGAACACCAGUUGCGAAGGCGGUCUCUUGGUCCGAUACUGACGCUGAGGCGCGAAAGCGUGGGGAGCAAACAGGAUUAGAUACCUCUGUAGUC
rnacentral:rRNA from 1 species